ACCAGUACGGAUCGACUGUAAGUUAAUCGAGAUUCAAAGUACCAACCCCAACUCUCAAUUCUUAUUAAAUCUCUAGAAGUAGAAUCGGUUUUGCAGGUCUGUUUUAACGAUUUGAAGGUUCCUGUUGAUGGUGGUUUCUUAUAAUUAGCAUCAACAUCUUGAUGUCAGAUUUGUAUUGGUGAUAUGCUGAUAAUUAGCUUCAUAAUUUCAUUGGGAUUUUUGCCUAUUACCUUUUUAUCUUAUGUUGUAGAUAUUGUUUUUUACAUAAAGAUAUAACCAUCUAGAGUCUACAUAUAUCAAAAUUGCUGGUAACUCAAUGUUUACACCUUAUAUUUAGCUUUGCAUGAAAUAUUGAAUAGUGAUGGAAUCAAAUUUGUGGGGUAUGAUUGCAUGCUUUUUGGUUGUUAGAUACUUAUAUUUUGUUUUAGUGUGUACGUAAACAGAACUAGUACGGCUGCCAAUGAACUAGUGGAUCACAGGGUAUUAUUAUCAAAAAUAAAGAUCAAUUUAUGAACUACAUGAUGUACUUCUGUUAGGUCAAGAAUUUUGAUCCUUGCUCUGAUGAUUGUGCAUCCACCUAUCUGAGUAGAGCAAAAUUGCAAGCAGCUAUUUAUGCCCAAAAAACCUCAUCGUUACAUUGUUGGUACUCAUUUUCUUUAAAUUUGCAUGGUAAUACUAUAAACACAAAUGUUCACAUGUUUGUUAGAAGUCAACCUAGCAACUAUACCCCCAAAAGACCAAGCAAUUCCUAAUGGUAAGUAAUUAUUCGCAAAUAAAAUAUGUAUUUUUUUUUGUUUUCUUUCUAUUUUUAACCUUAAAGUUUUCAUUUUUUACCUAAUAUCUUAUCUAAAUUGUCAUGGAAUCUUCAAGAUUUAUCUCUAAAUGAAAUUGCGUGUUAGAAAAAUCUUAUCUUUUUGCUGAACAUGCUUAUAAUAUGGUGUUAAACAGAAAACACACUUUGGGUGAUGAAGGUUGUAAGUUUCGUAGCUUUGAUACCUCUGGAGGUGUUUGGCCACGCUAACUGUUGCAACCACUUUUACAUGGGUAAAUGGACAGUUGGGUAACGGGUCAAACAGGUAAUUUUCAAUGUUUAUUAUAUUAUUCAAGUGGAGAUUGGGAAAUGGACGGAACGGCUCAAGUGGGUAAUUUUCAAUGUGUGUUAUAUUGGUCAAGUAAAGAGGGGAAAAUUGGGUGGGGUAGCGGGUCAAAUGGGCGAGGACCCCUUUGACUUUAAGGGGAACAUUAGUACAAAGAAAUACAUCAAUAUGAAGAAGCGUUAAUUGCAGUUAUAGUUGAAGAUUUUUUUUUAAAAUGUUAGAAUUUGUGACAUUUUACUGCACAAGAAACUCAAGAUUUGUAAUCUUUUAAUGGGCCGGUUCCAGUUUCACUGGAACUUCCGUCUUUUGUAAUAAAUAACUAAUAACUAAUGUGUCAAAUAUGAUUAAGAAAAACUAUAUUUUUGUGAAUAAUGAUUUUAAUAUUUUGAAGGUUGCCUGAUUUCUUACGUGUGGUUAUACUCUUUAACAACGGUAUGAAAGUUUUAAACAGGGAUAUAAGAAAAUACUUUAAUUUUGUCAUUCUUCACUUAUUAUUCAACUUUUUAUUAUGACAUUUCAUGCCAAUACUUUUAGUUUGAUGUAAGCCUUUGCUUUCAUUAAUAGUCUGGAAACCUUGUAAGCCUUUUGUUUGGUAAAGUAUCAUGGUUACUACUCCUUUAAUAAUGAUUUAAGAGUGCUUUGAUUUAAAAAUAGGUUGGUGGUCAUCACACUCAGGUAGACACUGCAGCCAAAGUCAAGGGGCCUAAAGAUGAAGUUCAAAUAUAUACUUGAAUGGACGCCAAAAAACGUGAGCUAAUGAUUCGGGAUAAAGAUUUGGCUCUUAUUGAAGAACAUACGAAGGCUUUUAAAGCCGAAGGAGGGGAUGUAAGCAUUUGGUGACCAAAAUGAAGAAGAAGAUUAAGCGGCCAAGUGAUAGUUAAUAGUACCAAGCCAAACCAGAGUGAUUUAGGAGGUCUAACAAAGAAAACUCACUUUGGGCGUCUAUGGACGGGUUCCUUUCUAGCUAGCGUUUUAAGUUUUACCCGUUAGAGAUAGAAUAUAACCUGAAACAACCCAUUCGUAUAUAAAUGGUUAAAGUUUCCACCUUUUAACACCGAAUUAUUUAUAAUAUUUCUAACGUUUCUGUGGUGUUUUAAUGCAGACCAUGAAUUUCAGGAACUUGCAGCUUCUUUCUGGUCUGCUUCAGGUAAACGAGUAACCGAAUACUUGAGCAUCGCAACACGUGUUAGAAGUUCUCUUAGGAUUGCAGAAAGGCCAAGGUUUGUAUCUGCAUUUCGCUGAUCCAAUUGUGGGAAUAUGAGCCCCAAUGUGCUUGGGGCAUUCUGCACCGAUACUGGACUACCCUGUGACUUUAAUCAUAGUACUUGUGAUGGGAAGAAUGAGUUGUGUUAUGUUCGAGGACCAAGGUUCAUAUUCUUGAUUUCUAUACAUUCUAUAUAGGUGGUAAGAUCAUUGGGUUAGGUCUAAACGGUUCAACUUUUGACGGUUGUCUCUGAUCGUCUUUACAAGUGCUUUUGUCGGUUGUCUCUGAUUGUCUUUACAAGUGCUUUGCUAUGUGUUUAGGCAUAUUAUACAUCAAUAUAUGAUAGCGAAACAUCC
rnacentral:lncRNA from 1 species